rnacentral:rRNA from 1 species
UACGUAGGGGGCAAGCGUUGUCCGGAAUCAUUGGGCGUAAAGAGCGUGUAGGCGGCCCGAUAAGUCCGCCGUGAAAGUCCAGGGCUCAACCCUGGAAUGCCGGUGGAAACUGUCGGGCUGGAGUCCGGAAGAGGCGAGUGGAAUCCUGGUGUAGCGGUGAAAUGCGCAGAUAUCAGGGGGAACACCAAUGGCGAAGGCAGCUCGCUGGGACGGUACUGACGCUGAGACGCGAAAGCGUGGGGAGCAAACAGGG